AUUGUCUAUAUCGUACAAAUUCAUGAAAACAAACAUUUCAUUUUUGGUCUUCAUUUAGGAUUAGGCAUUAUGGUUACUAGUGUGGUUAGGCUAGGAUUAAGGUUAGGGUUAGGCAUUAUGGUUACUAGUGUGGUUAGGCUAGGGUUAAGGUUAGGGUUAGGCAUUAUGGUUACUAGUGUGGUUAGGCUAGGAUUAAGGUUAGGGUUAGGCAUUAUGGUUACUAGUGUGGUUAGGCUAGGAUUAAGGUUAGGGUUAGGCAUUAUGGUUACUAGUGUGGUUAGGCUAGGAUUAAGGUUAGGGUUAGGCAUUAUGGUUACUAGUGUGGUUAGGCUAGGAUUAAGGUUAGGGUUAGGCAUUAUGGUUACUAGUGUGGUUAGGCUAGGAUUAAGGUUAGGGUUAGGCAUUAUGGUUACUAGUGUGGUUAGGCUAGGAUUAAGGUUAGGGUUAGGCAUUAUGGUUACUAGUGUGGUUAGGCUAGGAUUAAGGUUAGGGUUAGGCAUUAUGGUUACUAGUGUGGUUAGGCUAGGAUUAAGGUUAGGGUUAGGCAUUAUGGUUACUAGUGUGGUUAGGCUAGGAUUAAG